GCAGACUCGGAGCUCCGCCGGCGGGAGGGGCGGGGCCGGGCUGCGGCACAGCAUCCUCCUGUCCCCACUGUCACUGUGUCAUCUGACAGCGCUCACAGCCUGUUCCGUUCCGGGGACGGUAGGAGGCACUUGGGGAUGACAGCACUAAAACAAACGUCCUUGCCUUUGUGGAGUUCUUGGUUAAAUUAGAAAGAUAAAGGUGGUGGUCGGGGUGGGGGAUUAACACAUGAAGACGCUUGGAGCAAGACACUAAAAAGGAGCAUGAAAGUUUUACAUGGAAUUUCUAGAAUCGAAAAACAGCUAUUGAAAGUCAAGUUCUCAAAGGAUGAGGCAAGAAAGCCUAUUAGAUACAGCAGAAGAGAAAAUCACUGAACUGGAUGAAAGAUCAGAAGCAAUGAGCCAGAAAACAAGCCAGAUGGAACAUAUAAAAGAGAAAGGGACCAGGAAUGAUAAAGUGAGGAAAACUCGGGUCCAAUCAGCGUUCCAGAAGGAGAGAAGAGAAUGUGGGAGAGGCAAUUCCUGAACAACUUCCAAAAUUGAUUAAAGAUGAGGAUCCUCACCUAAAAUCUGGAACAGAAUAAAUACAAAUAAAUCUCAUCUAAACACUUUGUAGUGAAUUUGCAGAACGUUAAAGGGAAGAAAUUAGAAAAAUGGCAAGUACUAUAAGCAUGGAAGUCCAACUAAACAAGUAGCUGCUAUAGAACAUGAAUGGUGACAGUUCGUGGAGUGCAGAGCAAGGAUCAGGACAUGAUAACAGGUAAGCCCCCGAAGGGCAGCGUUUCCUCCGUAUUUGGCCCCUGCCCUCCUGGCCGUCAAACAGAAUAUAGCACAUGGCACGUGCUUAGUAAACACCUGCUGGAUGCGGACCUCUCCUCUGAGCACCCACUAUGUCAUCUCUGCGAGACACCGCCUAUCUGAGGGGCGCUCUCCCACCCAUACGAGCAGAGCCUGAGUCUGGGCUGUGCACUGAUGCUGGGCACUAAGGGCUCAAAGAAGACUGGUGAGGAGACAGUGUCAGCUCCGGGCAGCGCCUCUUCUGUGCUGUUGGAGGGUUUCUGUCUGGGACUCGUGGGCCUGAGGAACGGCAGAGCUGGCCUUGGCUGUCCCGUGAGGGUGGAACAACCCCUGGUCUGGUUGCUCACCAGAUAUCUUGUGACCCAGCAGUUUCCUUCUCUGAGCCUCUCUUUGCUCCUUUACUCAACAGCAGACAGAUCUGGGUCUAAAGUAGUUUUAUCACUUACAGCAUAACUUGGAACAAAAUCUUUUUCUUUUUCCCCUCUUUUUGGGACAUCUUAACAACUUAAUCUUGCAACUCUUCUGUUGCAUUUAUUCCCUUCAUAUUUUUUUUUAUCUUUCAAAAGUUCUUAUCUCUGUAUGAUAUUUUUGUUUUAGCCUCCUAUACUCUUAACCAGAGCAUGAAGGACUAUGCCAGAGGUUCUCAACCUUAGCUAUGUCACAAAAACCCAAGGAGCUUUUACAAACUGAGCUUACUCAGGGAUUAUGAUUAAAUUGGCCUAGGGUGGGGCCCAAGCAUAGCUUGGUUUUUGUUUCUCAGUUGGCCGUCUCAUCUUCACCAGAAAUAAGCUCUUGCCACUGUCUCCUUUAUAUCUAGACUGGGACCUAGUACAUAGCAAGCAUUCACUAGUAACUGAAUGAACAUAGCACUCAUUUGCAAAGGGAGUUUGCAAAAUAAAAACAAGUUUUAGGUA